rnacentral:misc_RNA from 1 species
UUUCCGUAGGUGAACCUGCGGAAGGAUCAUUACAACGCUAAAAACAAAAACAAACCAACCUAUAACUGUGAAAAUCUAUCACUAAACAAGCCUGGGUCAAUCGUCGCUGCAUGGAGAGCUCAUAGUGGGGUGGUCAGUAGAGAUUUUUCUCUUCUGGCUCUUCCGUCCAAUCCUGGGUGGAGGGAGUUUCUGUGUGCCUGGCUUGGUUGCCUCGCAGAUCAUCUACGAGAGCAGCCAGACGAAUGAUGCCGAGAUUUCUUUCCUUGGAACAAUUCCCAUUGUUUGUUCCAAGCAGUUCCCCUUCAACCCCUUUCUUUUUUUUAAACGCGUCAACAAAGCAACCAAAAAAAACAACAACAACAUAUUAACAGCUUUAGCUGUGCUCUCGGGCUCAGUGAUUUGCUGUACUAAUCAAAAAAUCCAAGAGGAAAAACAAGAACUGGGAGCUCGUCUCUCGCAUUCUGUUUUUUCCUUUGAAAUCUGUAAUGUAAAAGAACAACUCUUAGCAAUGGAUAUCUUGGUUCUC